AUUGAACGCUGGCGGCAGGCCUAACACAUGCAAGUCGAGCGGAUGACGGGAGCUUGCUCCUUGAUUCAGCGGCGGACGGGUGAGUAAUGCCUAGGAAUCUGCCUGGUAGUGGGGGACAACGUUUCGAAAGGAACGCUAAUACCGCAUACGUCCUACUGGAGAAAGCAGGGGACCUUCGGGCCUUGCGCUAUCAGAUGAGCCUAGGUCGGAUUAGCUAGUAGGUGAGGUAAUGGCUCACCUAGGCGACGAUCCGUAACUGGUCUGAGAGGAUGAUCAGUCACACUGGAACUGAGACACGGGCCAGACUCCUACGGGAGGCAGCAGUGGGGAAUAUUGGACAAUGGGCGAAAGCCUGAUCCAGCCAUGCCGCGUGUGUGAAGAAGGUCUUCGGAUUGUAAAGCACUUUAAGUUGGGAGGAAGGGUUGUACGUUAAUACCGUGCAAUUUUGACGUUACCGACAGAAUAAGCACCGGCUAACUCUGUGCCAGCCGCCGCGGUAA
rnacentral:rRNA from 1 species